UGGGGAAUUUUGCACAUUGGGGGAAACCCUGAUGCAGCGACGCCGCGUGAUUUAGAAGGCCUUCGGGUUGUAAAAAUCUUUUCUAUGGGAAGAAAAUGACAGUACCAUAGGAAUAAGGACCGGCUAAUUACGUGCCAGCAGCCGCGGUAAUACGUAAGGUCCGAGCGUUGUCCGGAAUCAUUGGGCGUAAAGGGUACGUAGGCGGGUAAGCAAGUUAGAAGUGAAAUCCUAUAGCUCAACUAUAGUAAGCUUUUAAAACUGCUCAUCUUGAGGUAUGGAAGGGAAAGUGGAAUUCCUAGUGUAGCGGUGAAAUGCGCGGAUAUUAGGAGGAAUACCGGUGGCGAAGGCGACUUUCUGGCCAUAACCUGACGCUGAGGUACGAAAGCGUGGGUAGCAAACAGG
rnacentral:rRNA from 1 species